UGGGGAAUUUUGGACAAUGGGCGAAAGCCUGAUCCAGCAAUGCCGCGUGUGUGAAGAAGGCCUUCGGGUUGUAAAGCACUUUUGUCCGGAAAGAAAUCCUUGGCUCUAAUACAGUCGGGGGAUACGGUACCGGAAGAAUAAGCACCGGCUAACUACGUGCCAGCAGCCGCGGUAAUACGUAGGGUGCAAGCGUUAAUCGGAAUUACUGGGCGUAAAGCGUGCGCAGGCGGUUUGCUAAGACCGAUGUGAAAUCCCCGGGCUCAACCUGGGAACUGCAUUGGUGACUGGCAGGCUAGAGUAUGGCAGAGGGGGGUAGAAUUCCACGUGUAGCAGUGAAAUGCGUAGAGAUGGUGGAGGAAUACCGAUGGCGAAGGCAGCCCCCUGGGCCAAUACUGACGCUCAUGCACGAAAGCGUGGGGAGCAAA
rnacentral:rRNA from 1 species